CCUUCUCCCGCUCGGCUGUAAACUACAUGUCUGGCUGCCAAACUGCUGUUUCCAACAUCAUAAUGUCUUGUGUUGUCUUCCUCACCUUGGAAUUCCUAACACCCCUUUUUAAGUACACCCCAAACGCCAUCCUUUCUGCCAUCAUCAUAUCUGCAGUCCUAGGCCUAAUCGACUUCGAGGCAGUAGUCUUUAUAUGGAAGAUCGAUAAGUUUGACUUCAUUGCUUGCAUGGGAGCCUUUUUUGGAGUCAUUUUUGCUUCCGUAGAGACGGGCCUCUUGAUCGCAGUAUUGAUAUCUUUCGCUAAAAUCUUACCACAGGUCACAAGGCCAAGAACGGUGAUGCUUGGGAGAAUCCCCAGGACUAAUGUUUACUGGAACUUACAGCACAGCAGUAUCCUGAAGCAACUAAGGUUCCCGAUGUUUUGAUUGUGAGAGUUGAUUAUGCAAUCUACUUUUCGAACUCCAACUAUAUCAAGGAAAGGAUAUUGAGAUGGUUGACCGAUGAAGAAGAGUUACUGAAAGCAUCAUAUCUUCCAAAAAUCCAAUUUUUGAUUGUUGAAAUGUCGCCUGUUACCGACAUCUACACCAGUGGCAUCCAUGCCUUGGAAGAGUUACUUACGAGUCUCCAGAAGAGAGAUGUUCCAGGUAAUCAAAUUAAAUUCAUUCCAUACUCCAUGCCGUCAAUCAAGUUUGUCAGUUCAUGCACGCUCUCACCAGAAGUACAAUACGUAGAUUCUCAUAUGACAAAAUGAUUUAUGGGCAAUGUUAACAAACAGACACACGGAAAAUUUAGAAUUAAUGAUCUAGUUACAUGAUUACAUCGUAAUCCUCUCACUCGAAAGCUUGAUUAUAAUACAUCAAUGACAGGUAGGCGGUGUAGCAGAAGAUUCUGCUUAAAAACUUCGAAACAAUAGCAUUUUCUAUGACUUACAGUAAACUGUGUUCUACUAGAGUUACCCAAAACAAGUCAUUGUUGCUGUUUUUUCAGCUUGUCCUAGCGAACCUGGGGCGAAUGGUGAUCGACAAGCUAUUUGCAUCCGAUUUUGCAAAUUCGAUUGGUGAAAACAAGAUCUUCCUCACGGUAGCAGAUGCUGUCAUAACUUGUGCACCGAAAUCAGUAGAAGAGGUUUGAGCAUCUACAAUGCAAAGGCCAAAUGGGAAUCAUGGCGAGGAAAAAAAAAACAACAACAACUGAGAUGUACAGAUAUAUACUCCUAUAUAACAGUUUUUCAAAAAGAAGAGGAUCCGGUUGAGUAGUUGGCUAGUGGGUAAAGGGUUCCUAAUUUCUCAAGAAAAAAAAGGGACUUCACUAAUGCAUAGUCCUGAGAUUUUUUUCCCCCAUUUUCCUCUCUUCUUGUCACUUCAUGUGUCUUCCCAGUUCUCUGAGCCAUGAGGCUAUGAGAGAUAAGAUCAUAGCUAUGUAAAACAUGAGGUUCUUUGUGCUUCAUUUCCUGUUAUGUGAUUCAUUCAAAAAAAUCAGAAACAAUCAGAGUUCCUUUU